CUACGGGAGGCUGCAGUGAGGAAUAUUGCACAAUGGGGGAAACCCUGAUGCAGCAACGCCGCGUGAAGGAUGACGCAUUUCGGUGUGUAAACUCCUUUUAUAUGUCAAGAAAAUGACGGUAGCAUAUGAAUAAGCACCGGCUAACUCCGUGCCAGCAGCCGCGGUAAUACGGAGGGUGCAAGCGUUAUUCGGAAUCACUGGGCGUAAAGGACGCGUAGGCGGAUUAGAAAGUCAGGUGUGAAAGCCUACAGCUUAACUGUAGAACUGCACUUGAAACUCCUAGUCUAGAGUAUGGGAGGGGGAGAUGGAAUUAGUGGUGUAGGGGUAAAAUCCGUAGAUAUCACUAGGAAUACCGAAAGCGAAGGCGAUCUCCUGGAACAUUACUGACGCUAAGGCGUGAAAGCGUGGGGAGCAAACAGGAUUAGAUACCCCAGUAGUC
rnacentral:rRNA from 1 species